CCUACGGGCGGCAGCAGUGGGGAAUAUUGGGCAAUGGACGCAAGUCUGACCCAGCAACGCCGCGUGAAGGAAGAAGGCUUUCGGGUUGUAAACUUCUUUUAAGGGGGAAGAGCAGAAGACGGUACCCCUUGAAUAAGCCACGGCUAACUACGUGCCAGCAGCCGCGGUAAUACGUAGGUGGCAAGCGUUGUCCGGAUUUACUGGGUGUAAAGGGCGUGCAGCCGGAGAGACAAGUCAGAUGUGAAAUCCACGGGCUCAACCCGUGAACUGCAUUUGAAACUGUUUCCCUUGAGUGUCGGAGAGGUAAUCGGAAUUCCUUGUGUAGCGGUGAAAUGCGUAGAUAUUCGGAGGAACACCGGUGGCGAAGGCGGCCAACUGGGCUUUAACUGACGCUGAGGCUCGAAAGUGUGGGGAGCAAACAGGAUUAGAUACCCUAGUAGUC
rnacentral:rRNA from 1 species